UACGUAGAAGACUAGUGUUAUUCAUCUUUAGUAGGUUUAAAGGGUACCUAGACGGUAAUAUUAGCCCAAGAUAGGGUACGGUAUUACUAGAGUUUAUAUGAGAAGGGGAGUAUUCAUGGAGUAGAGAUAAAAUUUUUUGAUACCAUGACUGACUGGCAGGGGCGAAAGGCAAGCCUUUUAAUCUAAUAACUGACGUAGGG
rnacentral:rRNA from 1 species